CAAUUAGUUGAAGUGAUGACCCUUUAGUUUUAUUUCCGGUUUGUCCGGAAAGAAAUCAACUAUUUCUUUCACUAUGUGGGUUGCUGAGUGGUAUGCUGUAUAAUAUUUGGAAAGCUGUGUGAUUCUCAGAUGGACGUUUGCUGCUCAUUUUUUUCCCACGUAGUAAAGAGCUGCCCGCUAAACCUGAAAAUGAUUCAUUUUGCUUAUCGGUUUUCCACGAGGUUAUAGCAACAGUAAAUAAACCUUGUUGUGGGAGUGGCUACUGUUGCGAUCACGUGGCUCCUUGAAGGGCAUUGCCACCUGCUUGUCAAAAGGUGUGUUUUGCAAGCACUUCCUGUGUUUGCGGCUUCUAAGUUACUGUUUAUUUUCCCUUGAAGAUGGCUGAUGUGAGUCAGGAGGAAAAAUUUUCUCUAAAAGAAGUGCUGGUGACUUUUCGUGCAUGCCUUACUGAGGCACAAGAGGUUCUAGUAGAUGAGUACGUCAACGGGUGGAAAGGACUUG